rnacentral:rRNA from 1 species
AUACAUGCAGUCGAGCGGACAGAAGGGAGCUUGCUCCCGGAUGUUAGCGGCGGACGGGUGAGUAACACGUGGGUAACCUGCCUGUAAGACUGGGAUAACUCCGGGAAACCGGAGCUAAUACCGGAUAGUUCCUUGAACCGCAUGGUUCAAGGAUGAAAGACGGUUUCGGCUGUCACUUACAGAUGGACCCGCGGCGCAUUAGCUAGUUGGUGGGGUAAUGGCUCACCAAGGCGACGAUGCGUAGCCGACCUGAGAGGGUGAUCGGCCACACUGGGACUGAGACACGGCCCAGACUCCUACGGGAGGCAGCAGUAGGGAAUCUUCCGCAAUGGACGAAAGUCUGACGGAGCAACGCCGCGUGAGUGAUGAAGGUUUUCGGAUCGUAAAGCUCUGUUGUUAGGGAAGAACAAGUGCGAGAGUAACUGCUCGCACCUUGACGGUACCUAACCAGAAAGCCACGGCUAACUACGUGCCAGCAGCCGCGGUAAUACGUAGGUGGCAAGCGUUGUCCGGAAUUAUUGGGCGUAAAGGGCUCGCAGGCGGUUUCUUAAGUCUGAUGUGAAAGCCCCCGGCUCAACCGGGGAGGGUCAUUGGAAACUGGGAAACUUGAGUGCAGAAGAGGAGAGUGGAAUUCCACGUGUAGCGGUGAAAUGCGUAGAGAUGUGGAGGAACACCAGUGGCGAAGGCGACUCUCUGGUCUGUAACUGACGCUGAGGAGCGAAAGCGUGGGGAGCGAACAGGAUUAGAUACCCUGGUAGUCCACGCCGUAAACGAUGAGUGCUAAGUGUUAGGGGGUUUCCGCCCCUUAGUGCUGCAGCUAACGCAUUAAGCACUCCGCCUGGGGAGUACGGUCGCAAGACUGAAACUCAAAGGAAUUGACGGGGGCCCGCACAAGCGGUGGAGCAUGUGGUUUAAUUCGAAGCAACGCGAAGAACCUUACCAGGUCUUGACAUCCUCUGACAACCCUAGAGAUAGGGCUUUCCCUUCGGGGACAGAGUGACAGGUGGUGCAUGGUUGUCGUCAGCUCGUGUCGUGAGAUGUUGGGUUAAGUCCCGCAACGAGCGCAACCCUUGAUCUUAGUUGCCAGCAUUCAGUUGGGCACUCUAAGGUGACUGCCGGUGACAAACCGGAGGAAGGUGGGGAUGACGUCAAAUCAUCAUGCCCCUUAUGACCUGGGCUACACACGUGCUACAAUGGACAGAACAAAGGGCUGCAAGACCGCAAGGUUUAGCCAAUCCCAUAAAUCUGUUCUCAGUUCGGAUCGCAGUCUGCAACUCGACUGCGUGAAGCUGGAAUCGCUAGUAAUCGCGGAUCAGCAUGCCGCGGUGAAUACGUUCCCGGGCCUUGUACACACCGCCCGUCGCACCACGAGAGUUUGCAACACCCGAAGUCGGUGAGGUAACCUUUAGGAGCCAGCCGCCGAAGGUGGG